UACGUAGGGUGCAAGCGUUGUCCGGAAUUAUUGGGCGUAAAGAGCGUGUAGGCGGCCCGAUUAGUCCGCUGUGAAAGUCGGGGGGCUCAACCCUCGAAUGCCGGUGGAUACUGUCGGGCUAGAGUGCGGAAGAGGCGAGUGGAAUUCCUGGUGUAGCGGUGAAAUGCGCAGAUAUCAGGAAGAACACCCGUGGCUAAGGCGGCUCUCUAGUACGGUACUGACGCUGAGACGCGAAAGCGUGGGGAGCGAACAGG
rnacentral:rRNA from 1 species